UACGUAGGGACCGAGCGUUGUCCGGAUUCAUUGGGCGUAAAGAGCUCGUAGGCGGCUGCUCAAGUCGAAUGUGAAAACUCGAGGCUCAACCUCGAGCCUGCAUUCGAUACUGGGCGGCUAGAGUCUGGUAGGGGGAUCUGGAAUUCCUGGUGUAGCGGUGGAAUGCGCAGAUAUCAGGAGGAACACCGGUGGCGAAGGCGGAUCUCUGGGCCGUGCCUGACGCUCAGGUGCGAAAGCUAGGGGAGCGAACAGG
rnacentral:rRNA from 1 species